rfam:Ictidomys tridecemlineatus contig015661, whole genome shotgun sequence.
GGGGAUAUAGCUUACUGGGUAGAGUGCUUGCCUUGCAUGCACAAGGCCCUGGGUUCUAAUCCCUAGCACCACCA